CCGAAAUAUUUUAAUUUUAAUCAUGAAUGGAAGUGCUUGGCUCACAGUGUCACAGAUCGUUCUUUAAACUAUUUGAAGAUCUACUUUAUCUUUACUAACGACUCUAAUCUAUAUCUAGUUUAUAUCUAUAUUUUAUAUGAUAAUAAUAGACCUAGACUCUUAUACUUAUAAUAAAGACAAAGUUAUAAGAUCUAGAAUCUGUAUCUAGAUCUAUUCCCAUUUGUGAUUUAUACACUGAUUAUACACUACAGAUUUAAUGUUUCUGAUGAGCAAUACUACUAUCUACAGCCAUGCCCAUUAACAUAGGCCCUACUCAUGUACUAGAUCUAGCUCUUUUGAUCACAACUCAUAUCUUGCCUAGAUAUAAACAACUGUACUAGAUUGGACUAGACAUUCUAAUCGGUUCUAUUUUCGUUUUUCAUUAUUCUCACAUAUUCUAGUAGGCAAUAGGUACCAAAUUGUGCUAUUUAUUCACUGUAGAUCUAGAUCUUAACUUUUCUCUUAACUACCAAAGAAGUACACAAAGGAUGUUGAAAGGUACCCAAAGGGCUCUAAUUGCUACCAUUCAAUGUGUGGAAUCAAGUAUUUACCCAGAUACUGCCACAAUAUGCUCUUAUUGUUUUCAAAGGAGUUUUCACACAGUGCCAGAAGCUGUAUAAAUACAUUUAACAAUGUAUAUUUCAAGAAGAAAUGAUGCUUUCUUAUUUCUAAGAGUUUAUCAAUACGAUGAAUGCCACAAAACUCACUUGUUAUGCCAGAAACUCUUCCUACGAAACUUCCAUACUAGAAUUUGUCCAGUGCCUGUGAUCCUCUGAGUUGAAGGAGAAUGUGCUCCAUAAUACCUACUAGGAGCUUGCUGAUAGCUGGAAGUUCAUGAAUACUAUGUUGUCCUUGAUUUGAUGAUUCUGAAAACUACCAUUUCUGAAGACUUGAGCAUUAUUUCUAUAAUUAAAAAAAAAUCUUUUCAGGAAAUAUUGUGUUUAUAAUAUUAAGAAAGUGAAGAUAAUAUUGUUCUUACUAAUGUUAUUGACUUAUUAAAAUAGAAAGCACAUCAUUACCAAUAUUCACUUGUCAAUAAAUGUUAGCAUUAUUCAAUUUUUAGUUACAUGUUCAAACUAUUAAAUUUUAUUAUUUAAAUUAUAGCAACUUUCUCUUUCAGUCCAGCUUAAGAUACAUUCCUGUAAAAAGUCUAUAAUAAUAAGUUAAUGUCGAUGUAGUAUUGUUCAGACACUUACAAGUUUAAUCAUCUAUACUUCACAAAAAAAAAGUGUUUGAAUGGUUUUCAUUUGUUUGUACAUCAAAUAUGUAUUAAUAUAAUUAUCAUUUUUAGAUGAAACAUUAAAUACUGAAGAUGACCAUUUCAAUUUCUGAUGUAGGCCUAUUCUCAUUUCAUGAAAUAAACAGAAUAGAAAUAAACAGAAUAUUAUCUGAAAUUUCAUCCCUUCAUGGUAACUGUAACUGGCUUCAUAAAAAAAUGGAGUGA